GACGAACGCUGGCGGCGUGCUUAACACAUGCAAGUCGAACGGAAAGGCCUGCUUUCCCUUGUGGAUUGCGGGUACUCGAGUGGCGAACGGGUGAGUAACACGUGAGUGAUCUGCCCCCAAAUUGGGUAUAAGCCUGGGAAAAUGGGUCUAAUUCCCGAUAGGACUGCAGGGUGGUGCCUGUGGUGGAAAACGAUUUUCUUGUGGUUGGGGAUGAGCUUGCGGCCUAUCAGCUUGUUGGUGGGGUAAUGGCCGACCACUGCGGCGAUGGGUAGCCGGCCUGGGGUUGUUUGCAUCCAAAUUGGGACUGUGAUAAUGCCCCGACGACGCCGGGCGGUAGCCAGGGGGAAUCUUGCGAGAUGAACGGAAGCCUGGUGCGUCAACGCCGAGGGGGCGAUGACGGCCUUCGGAUUGUAACCUCCUUUCGACCGCGAGAGAGCCACCUUGUUGGAAGGGUGGUGACGGUAAUGGUAGAAGAAGCACCGGCUAACUACGUG
rnacentral:rRNA from 1 species